rnacentral:rRNA from 1 species
AGUGAACGCUGGCGGUAGGCCUAACACAUGCAAGUCGAACGGCAGCACAGUAAGAGCUUGCUCUUACGGGUGGCGAGUGGCGGACGGGGGAGGAGUACAUCGGAAUCUACUUUUUCGUGGGGGAGAACGUAGGGAAACUUACGGUAAUACCGCAUACGACCUACGGGUGAAAGCAGGGGGUCUUCGGACCUUGCGCGAUUGAAUGAGCCGAUGUCGGAUUAGCUAGUUGGCGGGGUAAAGGCGCACCAAGGCGACGAUCCGUAGCUGGUCUGAGAGGAUGAUCAGCCACACUGGAACUGAGACACGGUCCAGACUCCUACGGGAGGCAGCAGUGGGGAAUAUUGGACAAUGGGCGCAAGCCUGAUCCAGCCAUACCGCGUGGGUGAAGAAGGCCUUCGGGUUGUAGAGCCCUUUUGUUGGGAAAGAAAAGCAGCAGGUUAAUACCCCGCUGUUCUGACGGUACCCAAAGAAUAAGCACCGGCUAACUUCGUG